rnacentral:rRNA from 1 species
AGUUUGAUCCUGGCCUAGGAUGAACGCUAGCUACAGGCUUAACACAUGCAAGUCGAGGGGCAGCGAUGAAGAAAGCUUGCCUUCUUCAGGCGGCGACCGGCGCACGGGUGAGUAACGCGUAUCGAACCUGCCUCAUACUCAGGAAUAGCCUUGCGAAAGUAAGAUUAAUGCCCGAUGUUAUUAGGAUAUCACAUGAUGUUUUAAUUAAAGAUUUAUCGGUAUGAGAUGGCGAUGCGUCCCAUUAGCUUGUUGGCGGGGUAACGGCCCACCAAGGCAUCGAUGGGUAGGGGUUCUGAGAGGAAGGUCCCCCACAUUGGAACUGAGACACGGUCCAAACUCCUACGGGAGGCAGCAGUGAGGAAUAUUGGUCAAUGGACGCAAGUCUGAACCAGCCAAGUAGCGUGCAGGAUGACGGCCCUCUGGGUUGUAAACUGCUUUUAGUUGGGAAUAAAGUGCACCACGUGUGGUGUUUUGUAUGUACCAUCAGAAAAAGGACCGGCUAAUUCCGUGCCAGCAGCCGCGGUAAUACGGAAGGUCCAGGCGUUAUCCGGAUUUAUUGGGUUUAAAGGGAGCGCAGGCGGACCUUUAAGUCAGCUGUGAAAUACGGCGGCUCAACCGUCGAACUGCAGUUGAUACUGGAGGUCUUGAGUGCACACAGGGAUACUGGAAUUCAUGGUGUAGCGGUGAAAUGCUCAGAUAUCAUGAAGAACUCCGAUCGCGAAGGCAGGUAUCCGGGGUGCAACUGACGCUGAGGCUCGAAAGUGCGGGUAUCAAACAGGAUUAGAUACCCUGGUAGUCCGCACAGUAAACGAUGAAUGCUCGCUGUUUGCGUCUGACGUAAGCGGCCAAGCGAAAGCGUUAAGCAUCCCACCUGGGGAGUACGCCGGCAACGGUGAAACUCAAAGGAAUUGACGGAA